CCGAAUUGUCAACACGAGUUGUUGCUGGUCCUCAAAUGGGGGCAUGUGCACGCUCUGUUCACACAUCCACUCACACCUGUGCACCCUUUGUAGUUCUGUAGCUAGAGGGGCUCUGUCCUCUCUUGCUGUGGCUCUAUGUCUUUUACACACACACUGUAAUAAAGUCUCAUGGAAUGCACAUAGCGUUUAACGCAAUACAAUA
rnacentral:misc_RNA from 1 species